rnacentral:rRNA from 1 species
CCUACGGGAGGCUUCAGUGGGGGAUAUUGCACAAUGGGGGGAACCCUGAUGCAGCGACGCCGCGUGGGUGAAGAAGAGCCUCGGCGCGUAAAGCCCUGUCAGCAGGGAAGAAAAUGACGGUACCUGAAGAAGAAGCCCCGGCUAACUAAGUGCCAGCAGCCGCGGGAAUACGUAGGGGGCAAGCGUUAUCCGGAUUUACUGGGUGUAAAGGGGGCGCAGACGGCGAUGCAAGCCAGGAGUGAAAGCCCGGGGCCCAACCCCGGGACUGCUCUGGGAACUGCGUGGCUGGAGUGCAGGAGGGGCAGUCGGAAUGCCUGGGGUAGCGGUGCAAUGCGUAGAUAUCAGG